rnacentral:rRNA from 1 species
AGUCGAACGGCAGCACGGGCUUCGGCCUGGUGGCGAGUGGCGAACGGGUGAGUAAUACAUCGGAACGUGCCCUGUAGUGGGGGAUAACUAGUCGAAAGAUUAGCUAAUACCGCAUACGACCUGAGGGUGAAAGCGGGGGACCGUAAGGCCUCGCGCUACAGGAGCGGCCGAUGUCUGAUUAGCUAGUUGGUGGGGUAAAAGCCUACCAAGGCGACGAUCAGUAGCUGGUCUGAGAGGACGAUCAGCCACACUGGGACUGAGACACGGCCCAGACUCCUACGGGAGGCAGCAGUGGGGAAUUUUGGACAAUGGGGGCAACCCUGAUCCAGCAAUGCCGCGUGUGUGAAGAAGGCCUUCGGGUUGUAAAGCACUUUUGUCCGGAAAGAAAUGGCUCUGGUUAAUACCUGGGGUCGAUGACGGUACCGGAAGAAUAAGCACCGGCUAACUACGUGCCAGCAGCCGCGGUAAUACGUAGGGUGCGAGCGUUAAUCGGAAUUACUGGGCGUAAAGCGUGCGCAGGCGGUUUUGUAAGACAGGCGUGAAAUCCCCGAGCUCAACUUGGGAAUGGCGCUUGUGACUGCAAGGCUAGAGUAUGUCAGAGGGGGGUAGAAUUCCACGUGUAGCAGUGAAAUGCGUAGAGAUGUGGAGGAAUACCGAUGGCGAAGGCAGCCCCCUGGGACGUCACUGACGCUCAUGCACGAAAGCGUGGGGAGCAAACAGGAUUAGAUACCCUGGUAGUCCACGCCCUAAACGAUGUCAACUAGUUGUUGGGGAUUCAUUUCUUCAGUAACGUAGCUAACGCGUGAAGUUGACCGCCUGGGGAGUACGGUCGCAAGAUUAAAACUCAAAGGAAUUGACGGGGACCCGCACAAGCGG